rnacentral:rRNA from 1 species
AGUGAACGCUGGCGGCGUGCCUAACACAUGCAAGUCGAACGGGCUAGUGCUUCGCACUAGUCUCUUUCUGGGGUUGCUACUCUAAGGCUACCUGCUAAAGUUAUUGCUUUAAAGCAGGGGUUUUAGGGGACCUUCCCCAAAAGGGGCCAGUGCGGAGCACUGGCCAGUGGCGAACGGGUGAGUAACACGUGGGUAAUCUGCCCUCGAGUGGGGAAUAAGCUCCCGAAAGGGGGUCUAAUACCGCAUGACGUUUCAUAACGAUGGUUAUGAAACCAAAGCCCAAAAGGCGCUUGAGGAGGAGCCUGCGUCCUAUCAGCUUGUUGGCAGGGUAAUGGCCUACCAAGGCUAUGACGGGUAGCCGGCCUGAGAGGGUGUCCGGCCACACUGGAACUGAGACACGGUCCAGACUCCUACGGGAGGCAGCAGUGGGAAUUUGCGCAAUGGGGAACCCUGACGCAGCGACGCCGCGUGGAGGAUGACGGCCUCGGUGUAACGUCUGUCGAGGACGAAGUACCCG